ensembl:lncRNA
CUGCGUUGUCAGCCCGUCUGGGGGCUUCGCAAUGGUUUUCCCCUCCUCGGGGCUGAACUGGGCCGUGUCAGUGCGAAUGGGGCUGUUUAACAGUGCCGUGUAGAUGUGCUUCAUUUUGUACAGGUCUGGAGGCGGGAUCCGCAUCUCCAGACGGCUCCUCUUAAAUCUGAGUGAAGUCUGAAAAUAAGCACUUCCAGAUCGCAUCUGUGUGGAAUUUUCAAAGAAAGCAAGGCCGAACAGGUGACACCUCCUUACAGGCAGUCUCCAUCACUUUUGCCAUCAGCAUCAGGAAUGAAAAUGCACCUGGAACCCUGAGAACAGUGGGAGAUAGCAUUCUCAGUUGGAUUUUAGGGAAGAUUUCUUCUCAGAAAGAGCAGUGAGGCGUUGGAAUGAGCUGCCCAGGGACUGGGUGGCAUCACCAUCCCAGGAGGUGUCCAAGAACCAUGGAGAUGUGGCACCAAGGGACAUGGUACAGGAUCCUGUGACCUGGAGAUGUUGGAUCCAGCCACAACAGGAGAUGCAGAUCAGAUUGUGCUGUCUUGUUACCAAAGCAUUCCAAGUAUGGGGCCAUUGACAGUGCCUGUCCCUGGAGAUGGAGAGCGUGAGUGAAGCAUUGUGGUAGAAUCCUGGCAUUAGGCCACCCCACAGGUGCCUGUCUAAAUGGUAGUUAUACUGUGCACUUAGAAUAAAAUUGGCAUCAGAUUGGAGGUGAGACUUGGAUUUUCUUUUAAUCAAGUCAAAUUGGGCUGUUUUGUUCUGCUUUAGCUUUGCUCAGUGCUGUGAAAUGUUGGGCAGCUUCUUGGAUCAUUUGGAGAUUUUUUGGAGAGAUAAUGCUUUAAUUGUUCCUCACUUUCUGCAACACUGUACAAUGGAUCUUAAACUUUUUCUUUAUUUCUUACUGUGCCUUUAAGUAUGGGCACAAUGGCCUUUUUUCCUAUUUUUACUUCCAAAUAGCAAUAGGAAUGCCUCAGUUUCCUUGUCUCCACGAGAAAAUAAAACUGUCUUGCAUGACAUGUGUCUUAUAAGGUUGAGUUAAUAUUUGUGCAGCGUUUGAGCUGUAUCGAAGUGUACCAGUGAAUAAUAUUAAUGAGAACACCUAAUGAGAACACCUUGUUCUAGCUCUGCAUUUGUUCCUUCUGGACCACUGUGUCAUCAACUAAUGUAGGCUACCUGUAGGAAAGAGGUAUAUACACUCCCAUGCUGAUUCUUAGCAAACCAGCUCUUUUCUUUGGCUUGUAUCUAGCAAUAUGUUCUUUACCAGCUGUAUAGAUUGGGCUUAAAAAACAGUCUUACAAACCAAUGCUAAUAGUGAGAUUUCACUACUGGGCGUUGCUUUCCCCCAUUCUAUCAGGCACACCACUUUCCUCCCCCGUACCCUCAGACAUCCCAAAGGUCUCCAUCAAACCCUCUCUGAAGGCUGGGUGGCAUUUGCAGUGCAAUUCAAGUAACUAUUUGAGUCAGGGAUAGGCUGUGGAGUGCGAGGGCUCCAUCCCACAAUCCAGGUUUGGGUUCUUUUCCUCUACAAACCUGGAUAUAGCGUGGGCGAGAGGGAGGGAAUUUCAUCCCGCUACAGAGCCAGAACCAAGAUGCCUGCCUGCAUUUGGGAGAGGGGCUGAGCUCUUGGGUUUUCCAGUUGAAGUUUUGUUUCAGGAUAAACCAUCUCUUUUUCUGAUUUAUUUUUGCAACAGUCCUUCAUUUCUAUGUAAAAGCUCUCCUGCUGCUUUUUUGCAUUUUUUAUUUGUUUUGGCCUUAUCCCUUGGCUCCGUUUUCAGCUACAUGAUUCUUCAUAAUCUCUGCGUAAAAGUGCGUGGCCCGACAAAAAAGCCCCUUAUGGAUUUUAUUCCCAGGCAUCUUCCAUAG